GAGCCAUUAGCUCAGUUGGUAGAGCAUCUGACUUUUAAUCAGAGGGUCGAAGGUUCGAGUCCUUCAUGCCCG
rnacentral:tRNA from 1 species